CAAAAGGCUCUUUUCAGAGCCACCCAUAUUAUCACUAUAAGUGGAU
rfam:Rattus norvegicus chromosome 17, whole genome shotgun sequence.